UGUGCAGAAGAGCUUCGUGUUAGUGGUGCUCUGGGAGAAUAAAGGAGAAAGGACAGUGAGAGCAAAUGUAUUAACGAAGAGGGCAGCUCCUUUGGGAGGCAAGCUUUUAAGUGUGAUGGAUGCUAUUGUUCACCAGUAUAUGUUUCCUCUCUACUUUGGCGUACAGGAGAAGAUGACAUUUCCCCACCACAUUCCAGGUCAGCAUUCCCAUACGUAUUUUUCUAGUCAAUAAAAUAUGAACAAACGUUCUUCUGGGAAGAAGCAUGUUAAAGCCUUCCUCCUGCUGCAGUCACCAGCAAUUUCCAGAUGAGUUGUGUUCAGCCACUGAAAUCAUAUGGUGUCUUGGUACUGCAGUAUAGGUUGGCCUGUUGUG
rnacentral:lncRNA from 1 species